ensembl:lncRNA
UUUAGAUCGUGACGUCAUUUUCUUCCGUUGCGCUCGCCAUUCCUCACUUGUUGUUUUAAUGCUGUGAGGAGACUGACGUGCUGCAGUGUCCUGUGUACUAAUGCUGCUGCAUUAUUUGUGCAUUUAUUUCAUACAGUAUGGAAGGGGAGAUUUGGAGGUACCUGGUCAGGUCUUGGUCAGCCUUCAAAUCCCAGAUGUGGAGACUGCAGGGAUACCUCACAGAGAAGACACUAAAGAGCCAUCUCUCAUUCAUCGAGUGGACUCAUUGGUUUGCAAAUGACCACAAAGAUGCUCCCAUAGGCAGAUUGCUGCAUGGCAUUCACCACUUAUUCAAAUUGAUGAGGUUGAAGCAGUCUUCCUUGUGGUCACUUGCCAUAACACUGUCAUGUGUUUUAUGAAAACACCAUCAGUAACAUUUAAAUUGAGUUGAUGUGGACGGCUCUUUUUUUUGUCCGAUUUCUUCAGUGUUCAGUGCCUGUUUGUGAGAUAUGCAUUGUUUGAAAGAUAAGCCUUUGAUUUUGUUUAAUUUUAAUAUGCC